UACGUAGGGGGCGAGCGUUGUCCGGAAUCAUUGGGCGUAAAGCGCGUGUAGGCGGCCCGGUAAGUCCGCUGUGAAAGUCCAGGGCUCAACCCUGGGAUGCCGGUGGAUACUGUCGGGCUCGAGUCCGGAAGAGGCGAGUGGAAUUCCUGGUGUAGCGGUGAAAUGCGCAGAUAUCAGGAGGAACACCAAUGGCGAAGGCAGCUCGCUGGGACGUGACUGACGCUGAGACGCGAAAGCUUGGGGAGCAAACAUG
rnacentral:rRNA from 1 species